rnacentral:tRNA from 1 species
GCCUGAGUAGCUUUGUUGGUAGAGAAUGAGGCUCAUAAUCUCAAGGUAAUGGGUUUUUGUCCCAUGUCGGGCG